CUCCUGCUUUCAGUGUCCUCCAUCUCUCCGCUGUCUCUCAUUUUCUUAUAUCGAGGACAUUCCUACUUCCAGAGACUGCUGCAGUUCCUCCUCCAUCUGUUGUUCUUGUAAUCUCUUCAGAGCUGUUGGAGAGUGAAGCAGCACAGAGCUGACCUUAUAAAGACUCCUCCAGACCAGACCACACCUCUGUCCCUGAGUCCAUGGAAGCCAAGGCUAAGUCCGGGGCUCCAGCACCCAAGUCAGCACCUAAAGCAGAGAAGAAGGAGCCGGCAGCCCCACGCAAGGCCGAGCCAGCCCCCGCAACCCCCGAGCCAGAGCAUCCUCCUCCCCAGGAUGGAGCAGCAGAAGCUGAAGCAGCAGCGGCAGGUGACGAGGCUGCGGCCUCUGGCACAGACUCUCUGGAACAGCUGAAACCCUUUCUCAUCGGCGGGGCCGUUAUUGCUGCAGGAGCCAUGUUGCUGGGAUUGUUGCUACUGGCGAGGAGAAAUUAAAACCAAAUUAUUAUCUCAAAUUAAAGUAUGUAUCGGUUGAUGAGUUAGUGCGUUGUUGCUGCGUGGUUCACAGACUAUUAUGGUUCAGAAGGGGGAUGGGGAGCCACUGUGCAUCUUUUAUUUUAUUUUUGUUUUUUUUUUAGCUUGCUUUCACUUGUAGUGAAUCAAACCAUUCAAGUUUUGAUAAAGGCUGUAUAUGGAGCAUAAUUACACAUAAUAUAUGCAUGAUGUUGCUUCGAUACUGCAUCUGAACUGUAAUCAUUUAUUUAAGAAAAACAAAAAAACUCACAUGGUAGAACUGAGCGAAGAAGCCUGAACUCUCCAAAGGUAGCUUGUUCAACUGCUUUAUCUUGUUUAAUCCAGUUUGCACAAAUAUUGGCUUACGCUUGCAACAUUUGUACAUUCUUGCACCAGAGAUCAGCUUGGUUCACUUUGCUAAAAGAUGAAAAACUGUAUUCACAAUGUUGCAACUUAUUGAUAAUAAUACUGGCUAUCUGAGUUAUUCUAGGUUUACUUACUUUUACUUUUAAAUAAGACAAUUGAAGGAGUAGACCUGAAAACAGAUUGAAAUAUGCAUUGUGAUGUAUUGCACAUAUUUUGGCGAAAUCAAUGCCGAAGUGAAGGGACUCAGUUCAGAGACACUGAAUUCCUGCAUAUCCAAAAAAUAAAGAACGGCACAGUGCAAUUUUAGAAAAAAAAUCAACAUUUUCAGAGGCAGAACAUAUAAGCAGGUAGUGGUUUAGGAUUGAGAUGUAGGGGGUUGUAGGAGACAAAAAAUAUGUACAGUAUGUGUCAGAGAAUAAUAGUGAAGUUACCUCUUGCUGUAGAAUAAGAAAGAGUUUUAUUUUACUGUCAGAUGAUGUCACAAAUCAAUAACCUUUCAUGUCUCACACAACAUCCACAGUCGUGCUGUUUCAACUUUACAGUAGAUACUUAGCUGUAGCAGGCUGGACAGCCAUUAGUGUUGCAUUAUCAGGUUUGAAGCCUGCUAUCAAAACAUGGGAGUUGUUGAUGUCUUCACUUUGCUCCCUUUAUGUGGCUUUAGGAAAAAAUUCACUCAUAACUGUGUACAACCAUAAUGUAACGAGAGCAGCCUGAAAGUGGCGUGUAGAUGAACUGUUGUAUAGUGUACUCAAAGGGGGGGAAAUCAUAUUUUCACAAUUUUGUUGCAGCAAACACUCACCUGUACAGCUGUACACAAUAGUGUCCACUCAUAUGUAAAGCUCAUGGGGAUGUCCCUGUUAUAUAAGUAGAUAGCUGAAAGAAAGUUCUAACACACACACAUCAUUAUUUGUUUUUAGCUGUAAAGGCACUCAUGCAUUUCAAAACAUUACUGACCAUAAAUAAUGUACAAACAUACCUCAUUCAAGGUCGACACCCCAAACACAUCCAAAAGAUGGUAUGCCAACACCAAAACAAACUUCACCUUACAUUGUACAAUACAGUGUACCAAAAAAAAGAGAAACCCUAUUUUCAUAAUUUCAACAGCGUAUAAAUGCAAUAAUUCAGAUAGGACUCCUCAUUUAGCACUUGUGCUGUAGCAAGUUGAAUUACAUAAUUAAUGAUGUAAUAAUUAGUUGGUGAUGAUGAUGAUGAUGUAUGUUAGUGAUGGCAAUGAUGGUGAUGUUACAGAUGAUGAUGACUGUAAUGAUGAUGACGGUUAUGAUAUAUUUUUGAUAUAUUUCUAACAUAUUUUCCUUAUGCACACUCCCCUCUGCCCCCAAACUCCUAAAUGUAAAAAAGGAAAGAGGUCUUGAUCCAAUCUUUAUUAAAGACAGUGAACCAAC